GAAAUGCGAUAAGUAGUGUGAAUUGCAGAAUUCAGUGAAUCAUCGAAUCUUUGAACGCACAUUGCGCCCCGUGGUAUUCCAUGGGGCAUGCCUGUUCGAGCGUCAUUUGUACCCUCAAGCUCUGCUUGGUGUUGGGUGUUUGUCCCGUCUCCGCGCGUGGACUCGCCCCAAAGUGAUUGGCAGCCGGCGUACUGGUCCCGGAGCGCAGCACAUGUCGCGCAAACGAGUGCCUUGGUACGGCGGCGUCCAUAAGCCCCUCUCUCACGCUCUUGACCUCGGAUCAGGUAGGGAUACCCGCUGAACUUAGGC
rnacentral:misc_RNA from 1 species